rnacentral:rRNA from 1 species
AUUGAACGCUGGCGGCAUGCCUUACACAUGCAAAUCGAACGGUAACGGGCCUUCGGGUGCCGACGAGUGGCGAACGGGUGAGUAAUACAUCGGAACGUGCCCGAUCGUGGGGGAUAACGAGGCGAAAGCUUUGCUAAUACCGCAUACGAUCUACGGAUGAAAGCAGGGGACCGCAAGGCCUUGCGCGGACGGAGCGGCCGAUGGCAGAUUAGGUAGUUGGUGGGAUAAAAGCUUACCAAGCCGACGAUCUGUAGCUGGUCUGAGAGGAUGAUCAGCCACACUGGGACUGAGACACGGCCCAGACUCCUACGGGAGGCAGCAGUGGGGAAUUUUGGACAAUGGGCGCAAGCCUGAUCCAGCCAUGCCGCGUGCAGGAUGAAGGCCUUCGGGUUGUAAAAUGAUUUUGUACGGAACGAAAAGCCUUCUUUUAAUACAGGAGGGUCAUGACGGUACCGUAAGAAUAAGCACCGGCUAACUACGUG